rnacentral:rRNA from 1 species
GGGUCAGUAGGUUGGUCGUGCCACCGGUACGUACUGGUCUCACUGAUUCCUCCUUCCUGAAGAACCGUAAUGCCAUUAAUUUGGUGUCGCGGGGAAACAGGACUGUUACUUUGAAAAAAUUAGAGUGUUUAAAGCAGGCUAACGCUUGAAUACAUUAGCAUGGAAUAAUGAAAUAGGACGAUCGAUCCUAUUUUGUUGGUUUCUAGGAUUGACGUA